GGGUUGUGAGGUUAAGCGACCAAGCGUACACGGUGGAUGCCCUGGCAGUCAGAGGCGAUGAAGGGCGUGCUAAUCUGCGAUAAGCGCCGGUAAGGUGAUAUGAACCGUUAUAACCGGCGAUACCCGAAUGGGGAAACCCAGUGUGAUUCGUCACACUAUCAUUAACUGAAUCCAUAGGUUAAUGAGGCGAACCGGGGGAACUGAAACAUCUAAGUACCCCGAGGAAAAGAAAUCAACCGAGAUUCCCCCAGUAGCGGCGAGCGAACGGGGAGGAGCCCAGAGCCUGAAUCAGCAUGUGUGUUAGUGGAAGCGUCUGGAAAGGCGCGCGAUACAGGGUGACAGCCCCGUACACAAAAGCGCAUAUGCUGUGAGCUCGAUGAGUAGGGCGGGACACGUGGUAUCCUGUCUGAAUA
rnacentral:rRNA from 1 species